UGUGGAUUAAAGGUGGCUUUCGGGCUGUCGCAGAUGGAUGAGCCUGCGUUGGAUUAGCUAGUUGGUGGGGUAAGGGCCCACCAAGGCUACGAUCCAUAGCUGAUUUGAGAGGAUGAUCAGCCACAUUGGGACUGAGACACGGCCCAAACUCCUACGGGAGGCAGCAGUGGGGAAUAUUGGACAAUGGGGGCAACCCUGAUCCAGCAAUGCCAUGUGUGUGAAGAAGGCCCUAGGGUUGUAAAGCACUUUAGUUGGGGAGGAAAGCCUCAAGGUUAAUAGCCUUGGGGGAGGACGUUACCCAAAGAAUAAGCACCGGCUAACUCCGUGCCAGCAGCCGCGGUAAUACGGGGGGUGCAAGCGUUAAUCGGAAUUACUGGGCGUAAAGGGUCUGUAGGUGGUUUGUUAAGUCAGAUGUGAAAGCCCAGGGCUCAACCUUGGAACUGCAUUUGAUACUGGCAAACUAGAGUACGGUAGAGGAAUGGGGAAUUUCUGGUGUAGCGGUGAAAUGCGUAGAGAUCAGAAGGAACACCAAUGGCGAAGGCAACAUUCUGGACCGAUACUGACACUGAGGGACGAAAGCGUGGGGAUCAAACAGGAUUAGAUACCCUGGUAGUCCACGCUGUAAACGAUGAGUACUAGCUGUUGGAGUCGGUGUAAAGGCUCUAGUGGCGCAGCUAACGCGAUAAGUACUCCGCCUGGGGACUACGGCCGCAAGGCUAAAACUCAAAGGAAUUGACGGGGACCCGCACAAGCGGUGGAGCAUGUGGUUUAAUUCGAUGCAACGCGAAGAACCUUACCUGGUCUUGACAUCCUGCGAACUUUCUAGAGAUAGAUUGGUGCCUUCGGGAACGCAGUGACAGGUGCUGCACGGCUGUCGUCAGCUCGUGUUGUGAAAUGUUGGGUUAAGUCCCGCAACGAGCGCAACCCCUAUUGAUAGUUACCAUCAUUAAGUUGGGUACUCUAUUAAGACUGCCGCUGACAAGGCGGAGGAAGGUGGGGACGACGUCAAGUCAUCAUGGCCCUUACGACCAGGGCUACACACGUGCUACAAUGGGUAUUACAG
rnacentral:rRNA from 1 species